UGGGGAAUCUUGCACAAUGGGCGAAGCCUGAUGCAGCCAUGCCGCGUGAGUGAAGAGGGCCUUAGGGUUGUAAAACUCUUUCAGCGGGGAGGAGAUGACGGUACCCGCAGAAGAAGCCCCGGCUAACUCCGUGCCAGCAGCCGCGGUAAUACGGAGGGGGCUAGCGUUGUUCGGAUUUACUGGGCGUAAAGCGCACGUAGGCGGAUUAUUAAGUCGGGGGUGAAAGCCCGAGGCUCAACCUCGGAACUGCCCUCGAUACUGGUAAUCUUGAGUCCGGGAGAGGUGAGUGGAAUUCCUAGUGUAGAGGUGAAAUUCGUAGAUAUUAGGAAGAACACCAGUGGCGAAGGCGGCUCACUGGCCCGGUACUGACGCUGAGGAGCGAAAGCGUGGGGAGCAAACAGGAUUAGAUACCCUGGUAGUCCACGCCGUAAACGAUGGAUGCUAGCUGUCGGUGGGCAUGCCCUUCGGUGGCGCAGCUAACGCAUUAAGCAUCCCGCCUGGGGAGUACGGUCGCAAGAUUA
rnacentral:rRNA from 1 species